rnacentral:rRNA from 1 species
CACGUAGGGGGCUAGCGUUGUCCGGAUUUAUUGGGCGUAAAGAGCGUGUAGGCGGCCAGGUAGGUCUGCUGUGAAAACUCGAGGCUCAACCUCGAGAUGUCGGCGGAAACCAUCUGGCUAGAGUCCGGAAGAGGAGAGUGGAAUUCCUGGUGUAGCGGUGAAAUGCGCAGAUAUCAGGAAGAACACCCGUGGCUAAGGCGGCUCUCUAGUACGGUACUGACGCUGAGACGCGAAAGCGUGGGGAGCGAACAGG